rnacentral:rRNA from 1 species
AACGAACGCUGGCGGCAUGCCUAACACAUGCAAGUCGAACGAGAUCUUCGGGUCUAGUGGCGCACGGGUGCGUAACGCGUGGGAAUCUGCCCUUUGGUUCGGAAUAACAGUUGGAAACGACUGCUAAUACCGGAUGAUGACGAAAGUCCAAAGAUUUAUCGCCAGAGGAUGAGCCCGCGUAGGAUUAGCUAGUUGGUGUGAUAAAGGCGCACCAAGGCGACGAUCCUUAGCUGGUCUGAGAGGAUGAUCAGCCACACUGGGACUGAGACACGGCCCAGACUCCUACGGGAGGGAGCAGUGGGGAAUAUUGGACAAUGGGCGAAAGCCUGCUCCAGCAAUGCCGCGUGAGUGAUGAAGGCCUUAGGGUUGUAAAGCUCUUUUACCCGGGAUGAUAAUGACAGUACCGGGAGAAUAAGCUCCGGCUAACUCCGUGCCAGCCGCCGCCGUAA